CCUUUGACCCGGAUGGAGAUGAGGUCGUGUGCAGGAAUGGCAGACCUCCUUACGAGUGUGACGACUGUAGUCUCCCUCCUUACUUUGAAUUCAGUUCGAACUGCAGUAUGUCAUACAAACCAAUAGACUAUGGAGGAGGAGAAAAGCUGUACGUGGUGCAGCUGAUGAUGGAGGAUCAUCCCAGAAGUGACAUCGUUCUGACCCAGAGCAACGGCACAGUGGAGCAGAGGAACACCACCGACCACAUCAGCUCUCUGCCCUUCCAGUUCGCUAUUGUGGCAUCUCCUGGUUUACCGUCCUGCAGUGAAGGGGUUUUUUUGCC